UGUCAAUUUUAUGAUUGUAAUUUUUUUGUCAAGAGCUACAAUAAUUAUAGCACUGAUUAUAGCAUCAAAUACCAACUAUACCGCCAAAUAUGGCAUUGUAAUGUGAAUGAAAUAUUCCUAUUUUAAGGAAUUAUAGCGAGUUGCAACAAAAUUGAAUGUAGAAAGAAAUAUGAAAUAUAGAAACAAAAAAAUUACAAUCAUAAAAUUGACA
rnacentral:misc_RNA from 1 species